AUUGAACGCUGGCGGCAUGCUUUACACAUGCAAGUCGAACGGCAGCGCGGGCUUCGUCCUGGCGGCGAGUGGCGAACGGGUGAGUAAUGCAUCGGAACGUGCCCAGUAGUUGGGGAUAGCCCGGCGAAAGCCGGAUUAAUACCGCAUACGACCUGAGGGUGAAAGCGGGGGACCGAAAGGCCUCGCGCUAUUGGAGCGGCCGAUGUCGGAUUAGCUAGUUGGUGGGGUAAAGGCUUACCAAGGCGACGAUCCGUAGCUGGUCUGAGAGGACGACCAGCCACACUGGGACUGAGACACGGCCCAGACUCCUACGGGAGGCAGCAGUGGGGAAUUUUGGACAAUGGGGGCAACCCUGAUCCAGCCAUGCCGCGUGCGGGAAGAAGGCCUUCGGGUUGUAAAACGCUUUUGUUCGGGAAGAAAUACUCUGGGCUAAUACCCCGGGGGGAUGACGGUACCGGAAGAAUAAGCACCGGCUAACUACGUG
rnacentral:rRNA from 1 species